GACGAACGCUGGCGGCGUGCUUAACACAUGCAAGUCGAACGGAAAGGCCCUGCUUUUGUGGGGUGCUCGAGUGGCGAACGGGUGAGUAACACGUGAGUAACCUGCCCUUGACUUUGGGAUAACUUCAGGAAACUGGGGCUAAUACCGGAUAGGAGCUCCUGCUGCAUGGUGGGGGUUGGAAAGUUUCGGCGGUUGGGGAUGGACUCGCGGCUUAUCAGCUUGUUGGUGGGGUAGUGGCUUACCAAGGCUUUGACGGGUAGCCGGCCUGAGAGGGUGACCGGCGACAUUGGGACUGAGAGACGGCCCAGACUCCUACGGGAGGCAGCAGUGGGGAAUAUUGCACAAUGGGCGGAAGCCUGAUGCAGCAACGCCGCGUGCGGGAUGACGGCCUUCGGGUUGUAAACCGCUUUAGCCUGUGACGAAGCGGGAGUGACGGUAAUGGGUAAAGAAGCACCGGCUAACUACGUG
rnacentral:rRNA from 1 species